UUGUAAAAAUAUGUUUAGCUGUAGAGCUUGUACUUUAUGUUUGGGUAAAGGCAUAUUGAUGAA
rfam:Streptobacillus moniliformis DSM 12112, complete genome.